rnacentral:rRNA from 1 species
UGGGGAAUAUUGCGCAAUGGGCGGAAGCCUGACGCAGCGACGCCGCGUGGGGGAUGAAGGCCUUCGGGUUGUAAACCUCUUUCACCACCGACGAAGCUAACGUGACGGUAGGUGGGGAAGAAGCGCCGGCUAACUACGUGCCAGCAGCCGCGGUAAUACGUAGGGCGCAAGCGUUGUCCGGAAUUAUUGGGCGUAAAGAGCUCGUAGGCGGUCUGUCGCGUCUGCCGUGAAAUCCCGAGGCUUAACCUCGGGCCUGCGGUGGAUACGGGCAGACUAGAGGUAGGUAGGGGAGAAUGGAAUUCCCGGUGUAGCGGUGAAAUGCGCAGAUAUCGGGAGGAACACCGGUGGCGAAGGCGGUUCUCUGGGCCUUACCUGACGCUGAGGAGCGAAAGCGUGGGGAGCGAACA